AUGGCCGCGUGCCACUCAAGCCAGCAGGCCGCUACCCUCCAUCGGCCUCGGCCUCCGCGGUUGCCUGUUGCUGGCCCCGCUGCCGAGCGUCGCCUUCCCCGCGAGCCUCCUCAAGCCAGCACCAGAGCAAGCUCGUCCCCGCCGCGCCAAGCCCCUCUCCAUCGACCCCGCGCGCCAUCGCAGAACUCCAUCGUUGUCAGCUGGUGCAGCAGCGCCACCGCAGUACUACCCCAACCUCCGCGACCACCACCUUCGGCCUCCCCGUCCUCUGCUUCGCCUCCUCGCACCCCUGCUUCCGCCUUGACAGCCUCCCAUGGAUGCAACCACCUUUGCAGCCAAGACCGACGCCUAAACAAGCACACCGGCUCUGUGGAUUUCGGCAAGUCCCUCGACGACCGACGCUUAGUACCACUACGUUUGCCAUGUACAUCUACACCAAGACCGGACCGACAAGUACCCCGAUAA
rnacentral:rRNA from 1 species